UAAUUGAAGAGUUUGAUCAUGGCUCAGAUUGAACGCUGGCGGCAGGCCUAACACAUGCAAGUCGAGCGGUAACAGGGAUCAGCUUGCUGAUUCGCUGACGAGCGGCGGACGGGUGAGUAAUGUCUGGGAAACUGCCUGAUGGAGGGGGAUAACCACUGGAAACGGUGGCUAAUACCGCAUAACGUCGCAAGACCAAAGUGGGGGACCUUCGGGCCUCAUGCCAUCAGAUGUGCCCAGAUGGGAUUAGCUUGUAGGUGGGGUAACGGCUCACCUAGGCGACGAUCCCUAGCUGGUCUGAGAG
rnacentral:rRNA from 1 species